rnacentral:misc_RNA from 1 species
AACCAUUCUCACCUGCGGCUAGACCUGCGGAAGGAUCAUUAACAAAUCCAUCAUUCGAUGACCCUACCUUGUGUGCACCUGUAAAAACUGCCCUUUGGAGUAAGGGUUGGUACUGGCUUUCGGUAAUAUAUCGGGCGUGCCAAUUUUUGGUACUGGCUAUCGGUAAGAUAUCGGGCGUGCCAACUUUUUCCAAAGGGUUUUUUUAUAAAUGUCUUUUGAACAAAAUAAAAAUUUUUAAAC